AUUGAACGCUGGCGGCAUGCCUUACACAUGCAAGUCGAACGGCAGCACGGGAGCAAUCCUGGUGGCGAGUGGCGAACGGGUGAGUAAUAUAUCGGAACGUGCCCAGUCGUGGGGAUAACGUAGCGAAAGCUACGCUAAUACCGCAUACGAUCUACGGAUGAAAGCGGGGGAUCGCAAGACCUCGCGCGAUUGGAGCGGCCGAUAUCAGAUUAGGUAGUUGGUGAGGUAAAGGCUCACCAAGCCGACGAUCUGUAGCUGGUCUGAGAGGACGACCAGCCACACUGGGACUGAGACACGGCCCAGACCCCUACGGGAGGCAGCAGUGGGGAAUUUUGGACAAUGGGCGCAAGCCUGAUCCAGCAAUGCCGCGUGCAGGAUGAAGGCCUUC
rnacentral:rRNA from 1 species